GGGAAUCUAAAAUGGAGCUCAGAGUUCAUCGAUUGAUAUCUUAUCAAACUCAACCAAUCACACGAAAUGAUCUUGAUCUCUCACAAGGAAAAAGCGAAAUCACAAGCAUGAAAGAAAAACAAAUUAACCAAAAAAAUCUGCAAGUAAACAAUGAACAAUGAACAAUGAAAUCACAAGCAUGCCAAUUGCCAACAAGCCCAUUCUUCUGCAAAUUCUUUUUUCUCCUUCGUACGGAACCAAUAAAACAUGAAAGACUCCAAAAAUAAAAAAGUUGGAUUUCUGUUUGUGGGUCAAGAACAUGAAUAGAAUCCAAAAAAAUAAAAGAUAAAAAGUGGGAAUUUCUGUUAAAAUUGCUCAACAACACAAAAGCCAAAGAACUGGGAAUUAGCAAACUUGGUAUAAUCAAAAGUAUACACAAAGCAGAAUAGAACCUGUCAAAGGAAAAAUUACUUUUACAAAUGGGUAUGAACACAAUCAAGGGUAACGGAACAUAGAAGAACCCAAACAAAUGGGAGUUAUUGAGAACGGCCUACAUUACAACACAUCUCCCAAGUUCUCAAUCGAUCUCAAUCGAUACUGCAAUCAAUCUUGAAUCAAAGAAAAAGAAAAUCAAAUCCAACAACAAAAACAGACCAUUAGCAAAGAAAAAGCUACCUAUCAGCAGAAUUUUCACCAGAAGAAACCGUCAUUGUAUCACAGGUAGUUAAGAAAAUUCUCCACUAUUUUCUAUCCAGAAAUUGAAUUUCAAGAGGUGGGUGUUGGAGAGAAAAUCAGAGAGAAGAAGGCGAUGGCGGAUUUGAAUAAAAAUAAUAGAGAAUCUAUAAAUAGAAUCAAGGAACAGGGGCGAGAGAUGCGUCAGGUGUGGCCCCUGUGACGUGACAACAAUUCUUUUUUUCAUUUUAUUAGAAAUCUCCCCUUAAAUUCCCACUAUAUGUUUGUAAGAUCUCGGAACCGACAUCUCUUUUCUUUUUCUCCUUCGUUCUCAUAUUCGAACAGCUUAAAAUGAUUAUGGGAAUGAGAUUAAUUGAAAUAAAAUUUCAUUUAUAAAUGGAAUGUAUUUUUAAAAAUAAUUCUUAAAAAUUUAAAAGUUAAUUUUUUUUAGAUAAAUUGUGUUUAAAAUAAAAAUUUUAACCAUAAAUUCAAUUUAUAUAAUGCAAAUUAAAUUUAAUUCACAUCUUAUUAAAAAUAAAAAAGAAUUUUUUAAUUACAAAUAAAUUCAAAAUAAAUAAUUUUAAUAAAAUAUGAAUAUUAAUAAUAUAAUAAAAUCAUAGGUUAUAUUUUUUAUAAAUAUUAUAAAAAUAUAGACAUUAGCAUUAACUUAUUUAUUUUUUAAAAUAUAUAAUAAUAAUUCAAAAUUAAUAAUUUCUUAUGCUAUUCAUAUAAUUUUACAAAUAUUAUAAAAAUAUGGAUAUUAAGAUGUUAUAAAAUCAUAAUUAAUAUAUUUUGUUAAAAAUAAAAAAUUAUUAUUCAAAAUUAAUAAUUGUUAAUACUAUUCUAUUUUAGAUGUAUAUAAAAACAAAUAAAAAUAAUUUUUUAAAGGUAUAAAUGAGUCAAAUUAUUUAUUAUAUGCAUAUAUUUAUUAUUUAUUUACCAAAAUGAAAUUUUGGAUUAUUUUAUUUAACCUAUAAUUAAUUAAUCAAUUAUUAAAAUUUCAAAUGAUUCUUAAAAAUGAUCAGAUUUAUUAAAGAAUUUAAAAUAUUUUAUAGUCAUUAUUUAUAUUUUGAAUUUUAAAUUAUUUUUUAAAAUUAUUAAACUUAUUAAUAAAAUUAAUACAAAGUAUCAUUUUAUUUGAAAUUCACUUUCUCUAGUGAAAAAAAAAAAUCAGAAUAACAAUCCUUUAUUUUACUUUGCUUUUAAAACUUAUUUUAAAGAAUAACCAAAUUAUGGUAUAAAUUUUUAAAAACAAUUUUGUUUUAAAAUUAUAUGCUCAAAUAGGUUUUUAUUAUUUAAGCAAAAAGAAAAAAAUAUUUCAAGGAUUUUUUUUAAAUGAAAAUAAAAAAAUUAUUUCAAACUUUUUACAACAGGGAGAUUUUUUAAAUAAAAAUAAAAACAUAAAAUAGUUUAAAUUAUAUAUAUAUAUAUAUAUAUAUAUAUAUAUAUAUUUCCUUUCUGAAUAGAAAUGAAUCAUCAUUAUAACAUUAUAUUUCCAUAUGUAUAUAAUUGAAAUUACUAAAUUUAUUCUUGAAUUUAAGAGAGAAUAAUAAUAAAAACAAAAUAUUUAUUUUCAUUCUUCAUUUUUUAUACCAAACACUCCUUAAAUUAGAUGAAACGAAGAAUCUUAACCCAAUUUAAGAUGAAAACCAAAAUCUGUAUUUAUCAAUUUUUUUUAAAAUGGUUUUUAAAUAUAUAAAAUAAAUAUAAACUUUUUUAUAUAUAAGAUGCUUUAUUCUAAUUUAAAAUUUUCUGAUUUUGAAAACAAAAAAAUAUAAAGUAUAUCCAAACAAAUAUUUAGUCUUUAUUUGAUAUAUUUUUAAAAAAUAGUUUUUUUGUUUUCAGUAAAUAAAAAUAGAAAAAUAGGAUGAUUAUAAAAUAUUUUUUAAUUAUUUUCUAUCGUUUUCUAAAAACAUUUAAAAAAUAAUUAUACAAAUAAUUAAAAAUAAAUAAUUAUAAAUAAAAGUUAUUUUUAAAACAUAUUUUAAACUAUGAAAACGGUUAAAGGAUAUUUCGAGUUUUCAAGCAAACUUUUAUUUUACAAAAACAUUAAAGAAUAGUUUUUAUAAAAAAAAUUUUAAAUUAUUUUGAAAAACAAUUUCAUGGUAGAGUUUUAGCGUCUAUAAUAUAUUUUUUAUUUUUUUAUUUUUAAAUUAAAAAUUUGAUAGAACAUUUGUACAGCUAGUUUAGACUUAUCUUAUAUAUUGAAAAAUCAUUUAAAUUUUUUUUAAAGUUUGACUUAGUAAAAAUCUGAAAAAUACAUCAUUUUUUAAAAUAGUUUUUAAAAUUAUUAUUAUUUCUAAUAUAAGUCUUUGACAAAUCUUCUACCUAAUAUAAGAAUUUUUAUUUUUUAUUUUAAAAAUAGAAAAUACGUAACAAAUAAUACUCACUUGUACCAUAUGGCCUAAAUAAUUAGGCCAAGAUAGAUGGUGAAACCUUCAGGAGGACCAUCCAUCCAAUUUUAUACAUCUUUCUUAGAAGCUUACACGUUGAUUGUUGAUUGUGGGUGGGGGUGGCAAUGGGGCGGGUUUGGGAUGGGUCGUGUACCAACAUACUUAAAAGUGUGUUUGGUAGUAUCUUAGAAGUGUUUUAAGGAGAAUCAAUUAUCACGUGUUUAUCUAAAAAACACUAUAAAUGAUUUUUGAGAUUUUUAAAAACGUUUUCUAAAUUUUACCAAACACUCAUUUUACAUAAUGUUUCUAAGCUUAAAAGGUUUUCAUGCACACUUGAUUCUACAUUUUGUGAUUAUUUGAUGAAUAACUUGAUUUUUCGAUUAAAUUUUGUAAAUAAUAUCUUAAAGUCAUCUUAAUUUUAAACUCAUUAAUGAACCAAUCAUGAUUUGUUAUCAACAAAACUCACUUAAAAGAACCUUCGGCCAACACUCUUAUUUUAAAGAAAAAUUAAUGGGUACAUCAAAUGGUAGAUAGAAGGCAAGAAAUGAACCAUUACAAAAUUUAAUUGUCCUUUGAUUUUUUAGUCUCUUAAUUGUUUCCGUCCUACUUUCAUUGAUAUCCGGGAUUCAAAUAAGCCCUUAGCCCAUGUUUGGUUCCAAAAAAAUUGAAGGAAAAUGUGAGGAAAACAAAUUCGAUAGGAAAAAUAGAAGAAAACAAAAUGAAAAAAAAUAAAAAAUAAAUUUAAAAUUAAUAAAUUAUUUUUAUAUAUUAUUUCAAACUUUUUUCAUUUAUUUAAUUCUUCUAUAUAAAUAUUAAAUAAUUUAAAAAUAUACAAAUUUCUUAACAAUUUUAAUUAUAUUUAACUUUAUUUUGUAUUUUUCAUAAUAAAACCAAAUAUAAAAAAAUUAUUUUUCUUAACAUUUUUUUUCUUUAUCUAGAACCAAACAUAACCUUAAUAUUUUUUUAUAUUCUAUAAUUCCAUCCUACAUAUUUUGUUAUUAAGAUAUAAAAUUAAUUCAAAUAUAAUAAUUAUCUUUCAAAAUUAGAUGACAAUAAAUUAAAGGUUCCAGCAAUAAAUUAAAAUUUCACAAUAUGAAUGGAUAAUUUUCACAUUCUUGCAAAGCAAUGCCUUGAAAACUAUAUUUUGUAUAUGUAUAAAUGAAAUUUAUUGUGCCACAAUUAAUACAUGAACAAAAAUAAAAAAACAAAUGAAAUAAAAUAUGGUUAGCAAAAUGAAGCAACCCACAAAUAUUAACAUUGAUAGCAAAAUUUAAUUCAAAUUGGGAUCCAUAUGUUGUUUAUAUGAACUUGUAAUUAUUUUUUCUUAUUUAUUUUCAGCCUCCGCGUGGUUUCUAUCUCGUUCAGUUCUAGCUUACUCAGUCACUAAUGUGGGAACUCAACAUCCCACAUCGCUAUCGAAUGACAUGGAGUUGCAAACGACAUGAUAUAAAAGGAAAAUAAAGACACAUGAACAAAUACCCCUUUCUUGGCCUUUCGGCUAAGAUUAGGUGUGGUAGCUUUUCAUAUCAGAUUAAUAUCUGAUACGUUCCAUCGUUCCACAAGAUAUUAAAGUUAUUUUUUUAAGGGGGAGGUCCCACUGUAAUUACUUGCGGUUCGGGACCUCGCGCGUCGCUCCGGCGUUGCACUAUUGCCUGGGCCUGGCGCACCCCUCCAAGCUCCAGUCCUAAGGUGUUGUAAACUGAGUUUUCAUAACGAGGUGCAUAAGGCCCAUAGCAGGAUGGCCCGAUAUGACAAUUGGGUUCCCGGUACCAGUUCUCCUGAAAUUGUUGGAGAUGGCAAAGCCCAUUCUGGUGGUUCCAUGGAUUUGUGUAAACUUGUCUGGGUUGUGAGGGAAAGGUUUGUUGGGUUUGGGGACAGAGGAAUGUAGAUUGAAUGGUGUGAGAUCAAGGCAUGAGUUGAGAUGCUUAGUGUUUGGCUCAGUUGGAUCAUUGUUACUUGGAACCUUCUGAGAUAGUACAAAUCUCAAUUUUAUAUAUGGUACCAAAUGUCUUAUUUUAUCCUAUAUUAUAAUAGAAGAUUAAAGCAAUUUCAAGGGAGGGCUAAGUGCCCAAAACCCAAUUAGAUUUCACAUGGGCAUAAUUGUUCCUUAUUUAAGUUUAGUAAUACUCUCAGUUGAGUAAUGUUCUAUUUGUGUAACUAUGCAAAUAGUAGUUUUAAGCGGCAGCUGUUGCUCCUGGAGCUCCCUUCUGAUCAAGCUCUGCCAAAGCCGCCCACAAUUUGGGAUCAUCAUAAUCACGUAUGAGAAAGACGGGUUUUGCUUCCAUCAACAAGCUUUCAGGAUUCCUGGUAGUUAAACCAACAACAGGCAUUUCGGCAGCCACCCCAGCCUUAAUCCCCGAAACAGAAUCCUAACCAAGCAAAAAAAGUGACGGUAAUUCAGUUUACUUGUUUGAAUUUUGAACAACUAGCAUGAUAGGUGAAGAAAGAAAACCUCGAAGAUGAAAGUGUGAUCCUUCGACACUUGGAGGACUUCAAGAGCCUUCAAGUAGGGGUCUGGAAAUGGUUUGGCACGAUCACAUUCACUGCCGACAACAACUGCAUGGAAGAAAUCAGAGAGGCCGAGAAGUGAGAUCAUGAGUUCAGCAUUUGGUCUUGGAGCAUUAGAAACUGCAGCCCGUUUCAAGCCUCGAUCUUCAAUCCAUUUCCUUAUCUUGUGUAGGCCAUUUAAGGGCUUCACUUGGUCUUUCGCCAAUCUGUUGUUCAAAUAAGGAAAUCAUGUGUUGGCAUUUUGGAAAUUUCACCAAAGUGAGGGAAAAUGGAGAAGAUGGGAGUUUUACUUUCGGAACAAAACUUCCUUAUCAUCCGUGAAUUUUAAGCCCUUCUCAAGGUCCCAGUUAGGGAAGAGGCCCCUAGCAAUAUCAUCAUUAUGUUUGCCAGCAAUCUUCUCAAUGAAGAAUUCCUCCGUUAUUGGAACUCCGCCAUUAUAGUCUAUCUGUUAAAAAUGUCAGUAUCUCUCAUAAGCUCAUAAUAAUUGGUCCCAUGGGCUUAUAGCACAUAGAGUAUGUUUGUAAUUCAUAUCCUUGGUUUUCUAGAGAGAUGAUAGAGCAAUUGCAUGCCAAUAUGCAUUGUUCAUGAUGUGGUGAUAUGACAUCAACAUUAUGAAUCAAAGGUAACAAAAUUUCCUUCUAGGUGGUGAAAGAAAAACCUACCUGCAGAAGCAAUUCUCGGAAGGCAUAGUAGUGCAGAGGAUCUGAAUCGCAUAGAGUUCCAUCAAUAUCAAAUAGGACCGCUUCGAGAGGAGCAAGUCCAGAUAGAGAAUAUUUGCUGCUUCCACAAAAUAAAGAAAAAUCAAGUUACAAAAUUACUCAAUGUGAACAAUGAAACCAAGACUUAUAUGAGAGGGGCUCUUUAUCUAAACCAUGUCCCGGUCCCAUUUCCCUGUCUUCAGUUGCUUUCAGAUUACUGGAAGAUUUUUGAGAAUGUUUAGGAAAAAAAAAAAGGGAAAAAAGAGCAUGUGCAUUAUACGGCUAUAACCAAUAAAACUAAUUUCUUUUUUGGGCUGUAAAUUUAUCCAAUGAAAUCCAUGGGCUAAUCAAAUGGUGGGUUUUGAUCAAAUUUUUGUGCUGAUUUGGAUGGCUCAAAAGAUCAUGAGAUGGCCAGAGAUUAGAUCCAUGCAACAGAAAAACAACAGUAAGGAUUCAUUUCAACUCAAUGUGGAAAAAGCAGUACAUAAUAUCCAAGUUUAACUACAAAAACAGCAUAGUUCAAACUUCAAUCAAAACUUGAAACUUGGGCAGUGUCCUUCAAUUUGAGAGUGCAUUAAACAUGGUAAAAAUAAUAACUAUGGCAUUUACUUGUUGAAUUUGUCCUAAUUCUAGCACUUAUUUCAGCAUACAUUUGGUAAACACAAAUAUGAAGUUGUCUGCAAAAUAAAUCAAAUAACAUUCUCUUCAACAGGGAUUGUGCUAAGAUACAUCAAAUAUACUUCCACAUAAGAAAGUGACAACAUCCAUAAAGGCCAUAACUACUCGCAAUUAAGCAUGGGCAUAAAGCUGAUACUUCCAUGAAAUAAAGUUUGUAUGCACACUUUUGGAGGAAGAGAUUGUUUUGGGCAUGGGAGAAAUGGUAUAUUUCUCCCAUGUACAGUCCAUCUUCCGGUACCUUUUUAUUAGCAUUUUGGUGAAAAUGUAAUUUGACAGUUGUUUUCAAAAAAUACAUUACUAUUACGGAAGAGUUCAAUUAGAAUUUUUAAGACCCUACAUCUUAAGUAUUCAUGCCUAAUGUCCAAUGCCCAAGUGUGUUUUCGUAAGGGGAUCUGUUUGCUCAUGCCUCUGGAGCUAAUAAAGUGGGUUCAUCGACAUCCGAAAGACGGAUAGGACAAGUGCUAUUAUUCCCCUCCAUACGGAUACACAAAGAAUACACUAUUUUAUAGCUUGAUCAAUGAAGCACAGAGAAUUCUUGCAACAAAUUGACUUGGGAACAUAAUGAAAGAAUAGUGGAAGAACCUGCAUGGGGAAUACACCUAAAAUCUCAUGAAGAAAAGAAGUGCAUAUUGAGAAAAGAAAAAAGAAAACAUCUCUACAAAGUACAAACAUGGUUUUCAAUGGCAUCAGUCAUGCUAGGAAGGGAACAAGGCAAGCCACAGAUUACUGAUAUACUACAAUUUUGUUCUUUGGAUGAGUGUGUGGGAGAUGGGUAUAAAAGAAACUAUGACGGUGAUAGAUACAAAUAACCAGGAAAGAUGAAUAUCAAGAAAACAAAAUCUUAGAGAAAGGGAUUGGGUCUCACUGCAACAAACAAUGCCGGCUAAGUCUUAGGGUCUUUGAGAAUUUGGAAGUAUAUCUGUUCAUAUAUCGAGACACUUCCGAAUCUUAUGACAAAAACUAUAUCCUAGAGUUGAGGAAUUAUUCAAGGUUGACUAAAUCAAUCCCAUUGAAAGACAUUAAUUUGAAGGGAUGAGAAAGUAGAAUGGUAUUACGGAUCAAAAUUGUAGACAGGAAAAAACAAUCAAGACAGACAUUGAUUACUUUAUUACCAACACAUAAAAUUUGCAUGUUAGGACAGAUUACAAAAUAAUAUUUUCAGAUCUUGAUCAGAAAUCAAAGUUGGCCUGUGGCUUCUGCACAUUACUUAAUGGAAAAACUAAUAAUAUCUUAUGUUUCAUUUAUUCAAUUAAUACACCCAUCAAGGCCGAUUAGGGAAUCUACAAUGGAGCUCAGAGUUCAUAGAUGGAGAUCUUAUCAAACUCAACCAAUCAUAUGAAAUGAUUUUCAUCUCUCACGAGGAAAAAGUGAAAUCACAACCAUGAAAGAAAAACAAAUGAACAAAGAAAUCUGCAAGUAAACAAUGAACAAUCAAAAUGAAAUCACAAGCAUCAACAAGCCCAUUCUACUGCAAAUUCUUUUUUCUCUUGGUACGGAAACAAUAAAACAUGAAAGACUACAAAAAUAAAAAGUUGGAUUUCUGUUUGUGGGUCAAGAACAUAAAUAUAAUCCAAAAAAAAACAUGGGAAUUUCUGCUGAAAUUGCUCAACAACACAAAAGCCAAAGAACUGGGAAUUUGCAAACUUGGGUAUCAUCAAAAUUACACACAAAACAAAAUAGGACCUACAAAAGGAAAAGUUACUUCUACAAAUGGGUAUGAACACAAGCAAGUGAAGUGCAACAUAGAACAAACACAUGGGAGUUCUUGAGUAGCUGAAAGGCCUACAUUACAACACAUCUCCCAAAUUCUCAACCAAUCUGAAGAAAUAAGAACAACCCACAUAACUACUGCAAUCAAUCUUGAAGCAAAGAAAAAGAAAAUCAAAUUCAACAACAAAAACAGACCAUUAGCAAAGAAAAAAGCUACCUAUCAGCAGAGUUUUCACCAGAAGAAACCGUCAUUGUAUCACAGGUAGUUAGGAAAAUUUUCCACUAUCUUCGAUCCGGAAAUUGAAUUUCAAGAGGUGGGUAUUGGAGAGAAAAUCACAGAGAAGGCGAUGGCGAAUGUGAAUAAAAAUAAUAGAGAAUCUAUAAAUGGAAUCAAGGAACAAGCGCGAGAGAUGCGUCAGGUGGUGGCUUCUUUGGCUUGACAGCACUCCCUUUUUUGACCU
rnacentral:lncRNA from 1 species